AAUAGAUACCCCGGUAGUCCACGCCGUAAACGAUGAGUGCUAAGUGUUAGAGGGUUUCCGCCCUUUAGUGCUGCAGCAAACGCAUUAAGCACUCCGCCUGGGGAGUACGGUCGCAAGACUGAAACUCAAAGGAAUUGACGGGGGCCCGCACAAGCGGUGGAGCAUGUGGUUUAAUUCGAAGCAACGCGAAGAACCUUACCAGGUCUUGACAUCCUUAUGCCAUCCCUAGAGAUAGGGCUUUCCCUUCGGGGACAUAAGUGACAGGUGGUGCAUGGUUGUCGUCAGCUCGUGUCGUGAGAUGUUGGGUUAAGUCCCGCAACGAGCGCAACCCUUGAUCUUAGUUGCCAGCAUUCAGUUGGGCACUCUAAGGUGACUGCCGGUGACAAACCGGAGGAAGGUGGGGAUGACGUCAAAUCAUCAUGCCCCUUAUGACCUGGGCUACACACGUGCUACAAUGGAUGGUACAAAGGGCAGCAAAACCGCGAGGUUAAGCAAAUCCCAUAAAACCAUUCUCAGUUCGGAUUGCAGGCUGA
rnacentral:rRNA from 1 species